CAGCAGCCGCGGGAAUACGAAGGGUGCAAGCGUUAAUCGGAAUUACUGGGCGUAAAGCGCGCGUAGGUGGUUUGGUAAGAUGGAUGUGAAAUCCCCGGGCUCAACCUGGGAACUGCAUCCAUAACUGCCUGACUAGAGUACGGUAGAGGGUGGUGGAAUUUCCUGUGUAGCGGUGAAAUGCGUAGAUAUAGGAAGGAACACCAGUGGCGAAGGCGACCACCUGGACUGAUACUAACACUGAGGUGCGAAAGCGUGGGGAGCAAACAGGAUUAGAGACCCCAGUAGUCCCUGUCUCUUAUAC
rnacentral:rRNA from 1 species